GGGGGGCGUCUAAUACAUGCAGUCGAGCGGACCGACGGGAGCUUGCUCCCUUAGGUCAGCGGCGGACGGGUGAGUAACACGUGGGUAACCUGCCUGUAAGACUGGGAUAACUCCGGGAAACCGGGGCUAAUACCGGAUGCUUGAUUGAACCGCAUGGUUCAAUCAUAAAAGGGGGCUUUUAGCUACCACUUAAAGAUGGACCCGCGGCGCAUUAGCUAGUUGGUGAGGUAACGGCUCACCAAGGCGACGAUGCGUAGCCGACCUGAGAGGGUGAUCGGCCCCCCUGGGACUGAGACACGGCCCAGACUCCUACGGGAGGCAGCAGUAGGGAAUCUUCCGCAAUGGACGAAAGUCUGACGGAGCAACGCCGCGUGAGUGAUGAAGGUUUUCGGAUCGUAAAACUCUGUUGUUAGGGAAGAACAAGUACCGUUCGAAUAGGGCGGUACCUUGACGGUACCUAACCAGAAAGCCACGGCUAACUACGUGCCAGCAGCCGCGGUAAUACGUAGGUGGCAAGCGUUGUCCGGAAUUAUUGGGCGUAAAGCGCGCUUUUUUUGGUUUCUUAAGUCUGAUGUGAAAGCCCCCGGCUCAACCGGGGAGGGUCAUUGGAAACUGGGGAACUUGAGUGCAGAAGAGGAGAGUGGAAUUCCACGUGUAGCGGUGAAAUGCGUAGAGAUGUGGAGGAACACCAGUGGCGAAGGCGACUCUCUGGUCUGUAACUGACGCUGAGGCGCGAAAGCGUGGGGAGCGAACAGGAUUAGAUACCCUGGUAGUCCACGCCGUAAACGAUGAGUGCUAAGUGUUAGAGGGUUUCCGCCCUUUAGUGCUGCAGCAAACGCAUUAAGCACUCCGCCUGGGGAGUACGGUCGCAAGACUGAAACUCAAAGGAAUUGACGGGGGCCCGCACAAGCGGUGGAGCAUGUGGUUUAAUUCGAAGCAACGCGAAGAACCUUACCAGUCUUGACAUCCUCUGAACAACCCUAGAGAUAGGCUUCCCCUUUCGGGGGCAGAGUGACAGGUGAUGCAUGCUUGGUCGUCAGCUCGUGUCGUGAGAUGGUGGUAAGUUCCCGCACGAGCGCACCUGAUCUAGCUGCAGGCAUCAGUGCACUCUAACGUACUUGCCGGUGACAACGGAGGAAGGUGGGGAUGAACCGU
rnacentral:rRNA from 1 species